UAUUUUUUUAUUUUAACUUAUAAAAAUUUUUUCUUCCUUAUUUGGGGGGGACCAUGGCCUACCCCGGUCCCCCCCUCCCUCCGUCUUUGUGUCUUACCCUCAGGAUUGACCCCCCAAUAGCAUUAGAGUUCUGCACCUAAUGGCUAAUAACAAGCUUCACUGCUAUGAUCGAGCUGGUGGUUAGGCUAAUCCCAAGUGGAUUUUCUCAGCUUCACGGACAUGGUGAUUUCAGAAUUACUCUAAUGGAUGUUUUGAAUGAAUCUAGGCGUGUGACCCAGACAACAUGUUCAAACUACAUGGGAAUGCUGGAGGAAAGCCAUCAAGUGCUUGCUAAUUUAUCACCUAUUCAACAUUGCCAUAUGACCUGCUGCAGCCUUUCCUGUAUAUAUCCACUGUUGUUUGUAAACUAGUGCCCCCAUGUUUUUUCUUUUAUUUUCAGAUUUAUCGCUCAU